AUCCUUUGUUGGUUCAUAAGCACGAUGAUUAGAUAUUCACGCUAUUGUGUGAGGAUGUGCCUCCCUCUAAACCUCGUUAAGACGUGGGCACAUUAUGCAUCUUACA